CUUUUUAUUGAUUACAAUCGCAACCAAUUUUAAACCCGCGAGUUAUUUAUUAAACUUUUGGUCUGCAAGAUUCGUCAGAAUUGUUGAAAAAAGUAUGGGAUUCAAGCGCGCGGAAACGAUGCCCGGCGGAGCUCAUCGACACCAUCGAACGGAUACUUAGUUCUUAAUUUUGGCUGUUAAGUCGAAACUCCGAAACGGGAUACCCCUGUAUGGAUGACUGAGAUGAUGAGAUGAUGGCUAGCCGGUGGAGUAGUAAACAUAUAUACGAUUAUGUUUGAUGAUUCCAGUAUUUAUGUUGUCAAAGUAAUUACGGCGUUAAAUAAAUUUUGAAAAUGCUAAA